rnacentral:rRNA from 1 species
UACGUAGGGACCGAGCGUUGUCCGGAAUCAUUGGGCGUAAAGAGCGUGUAGGCGGCCACUUAAGUCCUGCGUGAAAUCUUGCGGCUCAGCCGCAAGCGGUCGUGGGAAACUGGGUGGCUAGAGUGCGGGAGAGGAGAGUGGAAUUCCUGGUGUAGCGGUGGAAUGCGCAGAUAUCAGGAAGAACACCCGUGGCGAGGGCGGCUCUCUGGAGCGCAACUGACGCUGAGACGCGAAAGCGUGGGGAGCAAACAGG